rnacentral:rRNA from 1 species
AUCUUCCGCAAUGGGCGAAAGCCUGACGGAGCAAAGCCGCGUGAGUGAUGAAGGGUUUCGGCUCGUAAAACUUUGUUAUUAGGGAAGAACAAAUGUGUAAGGAACUGUGCACACCUUGACGGUACCUAAUCAGAAAGCAACGGCUAACUACGUGCCAGCAGCCGCGGUAAUACGUAGGUGGCAAGCGUUAUCCGGAAUUAUGGGGCGUAAAGCGCGCGGAGGCGGUUUCUUAAGUCUGAUGUGAAAGCCCACGGCUCAACCGUGGAGGGUCAUUGGAAAUUGGGAAACUUGAGUGCAGAAGAGGAAAGUGGAAUUCCAUGUGUAGCGGUGAAAUGCGCAGAGAUAUGGAGGAACACCAGUGGCGAAGGCGACUUUCUGGUCUGUAACUGACGCUGAUGUGCGAAAGCGUGGGGAUCAAACA